GUCGCCGUAGCGCAAUGGUGGAUGCUCCGUCGCAACGGACCUCGGGAGAGGUGCGGGUUCGAUCCCCGCCGGCGGCC
rnacentral:tRNA from 1 species